CACGUUCACCGCCUUUUAAAGGCCGGCUUUGGCUCGACCGGAUUUCUGGAAUUUUCUGGGGGUACUGACGCUGGGCAGUUUUUCAUUUUCUUGGCCUCGGCCGUGACAUUCCAUGCUGACAUGGCUGCGUCUGCCUGCUGUGUGUCUGGAAUGUUCCUGGCGUUUUCCGUGGGUGUCUGCUCACCCAGCGUUGCGCAGAUGGCUUCCGAGAGGAGAAACCGGGCCCCAGAGCAGGGGGGGAGAGGAGGUGGCGCCCCUGGGAGGGAACCCGGGGCCUGCCCACGCAGCCGGCGCUAGAGGAUGGCCGCUUGCAACCCAUGGAAAGACCUCUCGCCGAACAUGACCCCUGGCACCUUGACGUUGGACUUCUCACCUCCAGAGCAGUGAGAAACAAAGUUCUGGU
rnacentral:lncRNA from 1 species